CGAGUUUCCACACUGAUUAUUCUAGAUUUGUCAGCAACCUUUGUUAACAUGAACCAUUAAGUUUUGUUGAUUCAUUUGCAGAUACUGGCAAGGAUGGCCAAAUAUCAGUGUAGUGACUCUGGUCUCUCCUCCAUAGGAGGUCUCAGAGGGUGAUGUUGGACAAUUGCUCAUCUGCCCAGAGGAUUCUCAUGAAUGUGCAAUAUUACCUUCAUUCAUCUAGAGCCCUACGGAUGCAAUGAUCAUUUUAAAGUGAUUACUGCAGUAUAAGUGGCUGAAGGGAAGGGGCAGAUCCUGGAGCCACCAAUCCCCUCCAUGUUUCUGAUGGCCAUGCUCUGCCUACACCACAGCUGCCAUAACUGCUGUGAUCACAAGGGCAAGGCCUGCCUUUCACGGUGAUGUUUCAGCAGCAUGAAAACCACUUACCAUCCCUGAAAAAAAGAUUGCAAACUGUGAGCUGAGAAGAAAGAAUAAUGAACUAAUUCCCUUUGCCUUCUUGGAUUCUUGACCUUGCAAAAAAAAGCUGCAAUGAACUGAUUGGAAUUUCAUUUUGAGGUCAUCUCUGGUCUCAAUUGUCUUCCCUGAUACAUGUAUAUUCAAUAACCUUGUGAUGUUAGUGACAUAAUCCAAUCAGUAUUUCAAAUUUUCCAGUGCAGUCUCUGCUUGUCAUUUGGAUAUAUACAUGCAGCCACCAACAGGAAAAAAUAUUUUUUCCAGAUUACCAAAAUGGGUAUGGUAAAAUUGGAACGCAGGCUGGAUCAGGACAGAAGCUGGUGAAACCACUGACAAACAUGAAAAUGUCUGCAGAUAGAUCAGCCUCAGACUCAUAGUUGAUGCAGAUGAUAGAUACAAAUUCUUACUUAUGCUGGAUAUAAGGAAAAUAUUAUUUUACUCUGGGAGAGUGAUACAGUCCCCCAAAAGCUGUGGAGACCACAUUGCUGAAGAUAGUUUGGAGUUUCGUAUCCCUGGAGUUUUUCAAUUCUGAGAUAGCUCGAGCUACAGCUGACCUGAUCUACUGUUCCUUCCGACAUCUCCAUCAUUCUUUGAAAUCUACAUUAGACUGAACAUGGUUUUACUGCAGCACAUCUUGGCUAUGAUCCUAAAUCACACUUGUAGCUCUGCUUAUCAAGUAGCCAAUCCUUCCUAAUGCCAAUGACUGUAGAAGAAACUCAAGUCCCCAGGCAAUUCCUCAGAUGACUGCUUACAGCAGAAGACAAAGAAGAGGAUAAAAAGAAUUAAGUCAAGUUUUGCCUCCCUUCUCAUACUAAAAUGCCUCUAUCAAGUCUCUCCAGAGCCUUCUCUUCUC
ensembl:lncRNA